AUUGAACGCUGGCGGCAUGCUUUACACAUGCAAGUCGAACGGCAGCACGAGUGCUUGCACUUGGUGGCGAGUGGCGGACGGGUGAGUAAUACAUCGGAACGUGUCCUUAAGUGGGGGAUAACGCAUCGAAAGAUGUGCUAAUACCGCAUAAUAUCUGAGGAAGAAAGUGGGGGAUCGAAAGACCUCAUGCUUUUGGAGCGGCCGAUGUCUGAUUAGCUAGUUGGUGAGGUAAUGGCUUACCAAGGCAACGAUCAGUAGUUGGUCUGAGAGGACGACCAGCCACACUGGGACUGAGACACGGCCCAGACUCCUACGGGAGGCAGCAGUGGGGAAUUUUGGACAAUGGGCGCAAGCCUGAUCCAGCAAUGCCGCGUGAGUGAAGAAGGCCUUCGGGUUGUAAAGCUCUUUCAGUUGAGAAGAAAGAAUUCUGGUUAAUACCUGGAAUUUAUGACGGUAUCG
rnacentral:rRNA from 1 species